UGGACUUUAGUCCCAAAGGAAACGCGACCCAAGCUUCUUCAUUGAUACAAUAUAUAGAGACCUUGUUCACGCACAAGACGGAAGUCUAGUUUGACUGUGCCACCGCGUUACUUCUGAACAACGUUCCAGGUCGUGCUCGCAUCCUCGCAAUUGAUGUGUUUCAAAGCUUCAUCGAACAACGUCUCUGUUUCAUGUCCUGCUUCAUCUUCGCGUCUGGACUCGUCGCACCCUUGCUGCUUCGGUCCAAACGAUUUGCACGUCCUCCAGCUUCAUCAGCCGUCGCAGUUUGAAGAUUCACAAUAUUCGUGACAUUCAGCAACAAAACGUGAUUCGCUUUGUUCCAUUCAUCGACUCAAGGAUUCAAAGGUUCGCAUCACCAAAUUCAACUCGAUAUGUUAUCAUGCAAGCAAACAAAAGAAGAGAUGGAAUCAAAGACUUAUCGGAUGGAACAUGAAUCAGAUUUUUCGCUUGAUUUCCAAUUUAUUCUUUUUCUUCUCCCUCUGUUUGAUUCUGACUUCGAGUUCUUGCGUGUGUUGCAAAAUCGAGCGAUUCUGAGAGUUCAGAGAAAAGAGAGCUUGGAGAAAUUCUGGAAAAUCAUCCCCUCCUUCGAUGAAUGAUGAUGACUAAGAGAAUGAAGAAUGAAGGAUCGAUAUCCACUAUUAAAGGUUGAAAACAUAAUACAAAGUGAGGAAUCAAAGGAUUGAAGAUUGAAGUUUGUGAAGCCCCUUGAAACUGAGUAAGGUUUCAAUUAGGUGAAGAUGCCUUCGGUUUGGAUAUGGUUUAAAGAGUGGAGAUUUUGCUUGCAUUGGAAAUGGAUUACGUUUUGGAAUGUCUUGGAGAUUGGGAGGGGCACUCAUCAGCAGUUUUUGUAGAAGGAAGGCAGUAUUACCAAACUGAAGAGCAGAAUUAAGAUCAACAUCCUGUGGUUGCAUUGAGAAUCUGGUAGUUGUACCAUGAUGAUAACCUCUAUCUGUUAUACCAGCAUCCAUUGAAGGUUGUACUGUAGGAACAUGAAUUGGUAGACUUGGGAUAUAGAAUAGUCAUGUGAACUCAGAGGAACCUGAUGUUGGGCCGUACCCAAAGUCCUGUUCUGAUUGUAAUUUAACAGAGACUUGUCAUCAUACUCAAUAACAUGUAUCCAAUUCUCA